rnacentral:rRNA from 1 species
UACGUAGGGGGCAAGCGUUGUCCGGAUUUAUUGGGCGUAAAGAGCGUGUAGGCGGCCAGACAGGUCCGUUGUGAAAACUCGAGGCUCAACCUCGAGACGUCGAUGGAACCGUCGGGCUAGAGUCCGGAAGAGGAGAGUGGAAUUCCUGGUGUAGCGGUGAAAUGCGCAGAUAUCAGGAGGAACACCCGUGGCGAAAGCGGCUCUCUGGGACGGUACUGACGCUGAGACGCGAAAGCGUGGGGAGCGAACAGG